rnacentral:rRNA from 1 species
GAGCGGUAAGGCCUUUCGGGGUACACGAGCGGCGAACGGGUGAGUAACACGUGGGUGAUCUGCCCUGCACUCUGGGAUAAGCUUGGGAAACUGGGUCUAAUACCGGAUAUGACCACAGCAUGCAUGUGUUGUGGUGGAAAGAUUUAUCGGUGCAGGAUGGGCCCGCGGCCUAUCAGCUUGUUGGUGGGGUAAUGGCCUACCAAGGCGACGACGGGUAGCCGACCUGAGAGGGUGACCGGCCACACUGGGACUGAGACACGGCCCAGACUCCUACGGGAGGCAGCAGUGGGGAAUAUUGCACAAUGGGCGGAAGCCUGAUGCAGCGACGCCGCGUGAGGGAUGAAGGCCUUCGGGUUGUAAACCUCUUUCAGCAGGGACGAAGCGUGAGUGACGGUACCUGCAGAAGAAGCACCGGCUAACUACGUGCCAGCAGCCGCGGUAAUACGUAGGGUGCGAGCGUUGUCCGGAAUUACUGGGCGUAAAGAGUUCGUAGGCGGUUUGUCGCGUCGUUUGUGAAAACCCGGGGCUCAACUUCGGGCUUGCAGGCGAUACGGGCAGACUUGAGUGUUUCAGGGGAGACUGGAAUUCCUGGUGUAGCGGUGAAAUGCGCAGAUAUCAGGAGGAACACCGGUGGCGAAGGCGGGUCUCUGGGAAAACAACUGACGCUGAGGAACGAAAGCGUGGGUAGCAAACAGGAUUAGAUACCCUGGUAGUCCACGCCGUAAC